CUCUCUGUAGGUCAGACCUACAUACGUCAUACUUCUAAAAUGUCAUGUUUAUCUCUUAAUCCACCAAGUACGUAUCUUAUGGAUCGCUUGUAUUACCUCUCUCAGAUUUUAAUUUGAUAUUAUUAUUAAAAUUAUCUUAUUCGUUAAAUAACGUGAACAAUUUAAUAUUUGACACUUAAGUCUCAUGGAUUACAUCAGGGUAGAAAAGGGUUAAAUUAUAAUACGUCCAUAUUAUAUAUCAUUAAAAAUGGACAUAGCAAUAUACUAUCAACUGUAGUAAUAAGAAGUACCAAACAUUUUCCAUACAUAUAUCUAACUAUCUAAAUAUUUAUAAAUUUUUUCACAGUGUAAUAUUAUAAUAACUUAAAAUCAGUUUCUUCGGAAAUAUAUUAUUUUACUUCAUUGAAUCUUAUAGAUUUUCUAUUUAAUUGUAUUCUUUGAGGAAUAAGUUAUUAAAUUGUUAUAUUUAUGUAAUAACAAAAUUAACUAAUAAUAAAAAUAAUAAUAAUGAUAAUAUAUAUUAAUAUUUUUCAAAUACUCCUAAUGACAUUGCAUCAACUAUUUUUUUUUUCUUUUUUUUUUUUUUCUUUUUUUUUUAUCAUCAAAAUAAGAUAAUUAUACAAAACUAUUUAAUACAAUCAAUAUUUUUCGUCUUUAUCAUUACUACAGUCUUGUAUAAAGCUUGUAUAAAAUCUUUUUAUUAGAUUGCUGUAUAAUUUCUAUUUUGUUUUUCCUUUUUCUUUUUUCUUUUUUCUUUUUUUUUUUUUUUUUUUUUUUUUGGAUAAAAUUUAUAUGACUUUAAAAGUGAAAGUAUGUAUGUUUAAUUAAUGACAAUAGGACAAAGAAAUUAUGCAACGACCUAAUAGAAAGAAGAGAAGCACUUAAUGGUUAAUUAUUGUUGAAUUCAAAUAAAAUUUACAACUUUGCUUUAUUCAAGCAGUCUAAGAAUUAUUGUUUGCAGUCUUCUUUUUAAUAAUCAACGAUCCUGAUAUUUUGUUUAAACGUAUAAGCACUCAAAAAAAAAAAAAAGAAA